GCUAGCGGCAGGCUUAACACAUGCAAGUCGAGGGGUAACAGGGAUUGCUUGCAAUCCGCUGACGACCGGCGCACGGGUGCGUAACGCGUAUGCAACCUACCUUCUACAGGGGGAUAGUCAAUAGAAAUGUUGAAUAAUACCCCAUACGAUCAUUUAUCUGCAUAGAUUAAUGAAGAAAGCUCCGGCGGUAGAAGAUGGGCAUGCGUCCUAUUAGUUAGUUGGUAAGGUAACGGCUUACCAAGACAUCGAUAGGUAGGGGUCCUGAGAGGGAGAUCCCCCACACUGGUACUGAGACACGGACCAGACUCCUACGGGAGGCAGCAGUGAGGAAUAUUGGACAAUGGAGGCAACUCUGAUCCAGCCAUGCCGCGUGCAGGAAGACG
rnacentral:rRNA from 1 species